GGAGGAAGCUCAUCAAUGGGGUCAUAAGCUGAGUGCAUCACAGUCUGUAUCAUCUUCCUUGGGAAGUCGGAGACUAAGGCCAUCUAUGGCCCUAACAGAGCCACGUCUGAGCCAAGGGGAAGUCAGUUUCCAGUAGAAAAUUAGAGGGGCUGGGGACUUAGCUCCGUGGCACAGUGCCUGCCUGGCAAGCGCAAGGUCAUGAGUUCGAUCCCCGUACCAGAAAAAAAAAAAAAAAAUUAGAGAAAACUACAGCAACAUAAAAAUGAUAAUCACUCC
rnacentral:RNase_P_RNA from 1 species